rnacentral:rRNA from 1 species
AGUGGGGAAUAUUGGACAAUGGGCGAAAGCCUGAUCCAGCAAUGCCGCGUGAGUGAUGAAGGCCUUAGGGUUGUAAAGCUCUUUUACCCGGGAUGAUAAUGACAGUACCGGGAGAAUAAGCUCCGGCUAACUCCGUGCCAGCAGCCGCGGUAAUACGGAGGGAGCUAGCGUUGUUCGGAAUUACUGGGCGUAAAGCGCACGUAGGCGGCUACUCAAGUCGGGGGUGAAAGCCCGGGGCUCAACCCCGGAACUGCCCUCGAAACUAGGUAGCUAGAAUCUUGGAGAGGCGAGUGGAAUUCCGAGUGUAGAGGUGAAAUUCGUAGAUAUUCGGAAGAACACCAGUGGCGAAGGCGACUCGCUGGACAAGUAUUGACGCUGAGGUGCGAAAGCGUGGGGAGCAAA